GCCUACGGGGGGCAGCAGUGGGGAAUAUUGGACAAUGGGGGCAACCCUGAUCCAGCAAUGCCGCGUGAGUGAUGAAGGCCUUAGGGUUGUAAAGCUCUUUUACCGGGGACGAUGAUGACGGUACCCGGAGAAUAAGCCCCGGCUAACUUCGUGCCAGCAGCCGCGGUAAUACGAAGGGGGCGAGCGUUGUUCGGAGUUACUGGGCGUAAAGGGCGCGUAGGCGGCGUCCCAAGUUAGGCGUGAAAGCCCCGGGCUCAACCUGGGAAUUGCGCUUAAGACUGGGAUGCUCGAGUGCGGAAGAGGUGAGUGGAAUUCCCAGUGUAGAGGUGAAAUUCGUAGAUAUUGGGAAGAACACCAGUGGCGAAGGCGGCUCACUGGUCCGCAACUGACGCUGAGGCGCGAAAGCGUGGGGAGCAAACAGGAUUAGAUACCCCAGUAGUCC
rnacentral:rRNA from 1 species